rnacentral:rRNA from 1 species
UAGUUUACUGGAUAUAUUCCAUUACAUGGAUAACUGUGGUAAUUCUACAGCUAAUACACGCAUCAAAACCCCGACUUCGAAGGGGUGCGUUAGUUACUUCAAGCCAAUCGGUCUUCGGACUGGUUACAAGCGAGAUUGAACUAUUUAGCUGAUCGCACGGUCUAAGAACCGGCGACAUAUCCUUCAAAUGUCUGCCUUAUCAACUGUCGAUGGUAGAUUAUGCGCCUACCAUGGUUGUAACGGGUAACGGAGAAUCAGGGUUUGAUUCCGGAGAGGGAGCCUGAGAAAUGGCUACCACAUCCAAGGAAGGCAGCAGGCACGCAAAUUACCCACUCCCGGCACGGGGAGGUAGUGACGAAAAAUAACAAGCUGGUCUCUUUGAGUUCCGGCAUUGUAAUGGGAACAACUUAAAUCAUUUAUCGAGGAUCUAUUGGAGGGCAAGUCUGGUGCCAGCAGCCGCGGUAAUUCCAGCUCCAAUAGCGUAUAUUAAAGUUGUUGCGGUUAAAAAGCUCGUAGUUGGAUCUACGAUCAAGGCCUGUGGUCGUCCUUCGCGGAUGUACUGCAGUGCCUGGUCGAGCUAUCUGGUGAACGAUUGAUGCUCUUCAUUGAGUGUCUCUAGUUGCUGGAACGUUUACCUUGAAAAAAUUGAAGUGCUCAAAGCAGGCAUAUGCCUGAACAUUGCUGCAUGGGAUAAUCGAAUAGGACUUCGGUUCUAUUUUGUUGGUUUCGGAACGCGGAGUAAUGAUUAAUAGGGACAGACGGGGGCAUUCGUAUUGCUGCGUUAGAGGUGAAAUUCUUGGAUCGUAGCAAGACGACCUACUGCGAAA